UACGUAGGGUGCAAGCGUUAAUCGGAAUUACUGGGCGUAAAGCGUGCGCAGGCGGUUUUGUAAGUUUGUCGUGAAAUCCCCGGGCUCAACCUGGGAAUUGCGAUGAAGACUGCAAGGCUAGAAUCUGGCAGAGGGGGGUAGAAUUCCACGUGUGAGCAGUGAAAUGCGUAGAGAUGUGGAGGAACACCGAUGGCGAAGGCAGCCCCCUGGGUCAAGAUUGACGCUCAUGCACGAAAGCGUGGGGAGCAAACGAGG
rnacentral:rRNA from 1 species